rfam:Gossypium raimondii chromosome 1, whole genome shotgun sequence.
AAUCCGUUGUGCUGGCAUUUUUGAAUUAACAUCUUGAAACGUUCCCACACCUCAUAAAAACUUUCUCCCUUCAUUUUUCUAAAGACAACGAUCCCUUUUCUUAGUUG